rnacentral:rRNA from 1 species
AUUGAACGCUGGCGGCAGGCUUAACACAUGCAGGUCGAGCGGGGGAAGGUAGCUUGCUACCGGACCUAGCGGCGGACGGGUGAGUAAUGCUUAGGAAUCUGCCUAUUAGUGGGGGACAACAUCUCGAAAGGGAUGCUAAUACCGCAUACGUCCUACGGGAGAAAGCAGGGGAUCUUCGGACCUUGCGCUAAUAGAUGAGCCUAAGUCGGAUUAGCUAGUUGGUGGGGUAAAGGCCUACCAAGGCGACGAUCUGUAGCGGGUCUGAGAGGAUGAUCCGCCACACUGGGACGGAGACACGGCCCAGGCGCCUACGGGAGGCAGCAGUGGGGAAUAUUGGACAAUGGGGGGAACCCUGAUCCAGCCAUGCCGCGUGUGUGAAGAAGGCCUUAUGGUUGUAAAGCACUUUAAGCGAGGAGGAGGCUACUUUAGUUAAUACCUAGAGAUAGUGGACGUUACUCGCAGAAUAAGCACCGGCUAACUCUGUGCCAGCAGCCGCAGUAA